UACCUGCAGUCGAACGGCAGCACAGGGGAGCUUGCUCCCUGGGUGGCGAGUGGCGGACGGGUGAGGAAUACGUCGGAAUCUGCCCAGUCGUGGGGGACAACUUAGGGAAACUUAAGCUAAUACCGCAUACGACCUUCGGGUGAAAGCGGAGGACCUUCGGGCUUCGCGCGAUUGGAUGAGCCGACGUCGGAUUAGCUAGUUGGUGGGGUAAAGGCCUACCAAGGCGACGAUCCGUAGCUGGUCUGAGAGGAUGAUCAGCCACACUGGAACUGAGACACGGUCCAGACUCCUACGGGAGGCAGCAGUGGGGAAUAUUGGACAAUGGGCGCAAGCCUGAUCCAGCCAUGCCGCGUGAGUGAAGAAGGCCCUCGGGUUGUAAAGCUCUUUUGUCCGGAAAGAAAAGCUUUCGGUUAAUACCCGGAAGCCAUGACGGUACCGGAAGAAUAAGCACCGGCUAACUUCGUGCCAGCAGCCGCGGUAAUACGAAGGGUGCAAGCGUUACUCGGAAUUACUGGGCGUAAAGCGUGCGUAGGUGGUUCGUUAAGUCUGAUGUGAAAGCCCUGGGCUCAACCUGGGAAUUGCAUUGGAUACUGGCGGGCUAGAGUACGGUAGAGGGUGGCGGAAUUCCCGGUGUAGCAGUGAAAUGCGUAGAGAUCGGGAGGAACAUCUGUGGCGAAGGCGGCCACCUGGACCAGUACUGACACUGAGGCACGAAAGCGUGGGGAGCAAACAGGAUUAGAUACCCUGGUAGUCCACGCCCUAAACGAUGCGAACUGGAUGUUGGGUGCAACUUGGCACUCAGUAUCGAAGCUAACGCGUUAAGUUCGCCGCCUGGGGAGUACGGUCGCAAGACUGAAACUCAAAGGAAUUGACGGGGGCCCGCACAAGCGGUGGAGUAUGUGGUUUAAUUCGAUGCAACGCGCAGAACCUUACCUGGCCUUGACAUCCACGGAACUUUCCAAAGAUGGAUUGGUGCCUUCGGGAACCGUGAAACAGGUGCUGCAUGGCUGUCGUCAGCUCGUGUCGUGAAAUGUUGGGUUAAGUCCCGCACGGAGGGC
rnacentral:rRNA from 1 species